UGUCACGGCGAAGAUCGCGGGUUCGAUUC
rnacentral:rRNA from 1 species